rnacentral:lncRNA from 1 species
GUAAAUGGAUCCCAUGCUACUUUUCCUCAUGGUGGGGAUACUAUAUGCCAUGCUACCCAUCCAAAGUGGACCUACAAGCACAGAAAGUAUGAGCCACACGCUGAAACCCUGGAGAGCGCCAGGUACCCUUAAGUACCUUUUCCGUGAGGUUUUUCCAACCUAGACACCCUGCGAUGCUGGACUCAGUCAUUUUUGGAGGUAGCCGUGUCUUGCACAUCAUCGGACGCCCUGCACAUCUCCUCGUCCCGUUUAUCAGAUGCUGAUAGCAAAACCUCUCUUCUUCCUCAGCCUUGACAACCAAAAUAUCUAGAUAGAGUCGAAUGUUCUAGAAACGGCGAGCAAAGCAGAGACGAUAGCAGAACCGCUAUCUGGAUCUGUGAAUCCCUUUAGGACUUGGUCUCCUUACAGUAAAAUGGUGGACUUUUAAAAGUUUCCAAAGUCAUUCGAAGAUAGGGCAUCGCUGAGCGUAAACCUGCCUGGAGGGGGGCACACGCUUC